AGAGUUUGAUCCUGGCUCAGAAUCAACGCUGGCGGCGCGCCUAACACAUGCAAGUCGAACGAGAAAGUGGAGCAAUCCAUGAGUAAAGUGGCGCACGGGUGAGUAACACGUGGAUCAUCUACCUUUUAGUGGGGAAUACCUCUGGGAAACCGGAGACAAUACCGCAUAAGCCCGCAAGGGGGAAAGCAGCAAUGCGCUGAAAGAGGAGUCCGCGGCCGAUUAGCUAGUUGGCGGGGUAACGGCCCACCAAGGCGAAGAUCGGUAGCCGGCCUGAGAGGGCACACGGCCACACUGGCACUGAAACACGGGCCAGACUCCUACGGGAGGCAGCAGUGGGGAAUCUUGCACAAUGGGCGAAAGCCUGAUGCAGCGACGCCGCGUGAGCGAUGAANNCCUUCGGGGUGUAAAGCUCUUUCGACGGGAACGAUAAUGACGGUACCCGGAGAAGAAGCUGCGGCUAACUACGUGCCAGCAGCCGCGGUAAUACGUAGGCAGCGAGCGUUGUUCGGAAUUACUGGGCGUAAAGAGUGUGUAGGCGGUGUUCCCAGUCUGUUGUGAAAUCUCCCGGCUUAACUGGGAGGGUGCAGCGGAAACUAGAAUGCUAGAGGGUGGGAGAGGUAAGCGGAAUUCCUGGUGUAGCGGUGAAAUGCGUAGAUAUCAGGAGGAACCNCUGUGGUGUAGACAGCUUACUGGACCACUUCUGACGCUGAGACACGAAAGCGUGGGUAGCAAACAGGAUUAGAUACCCUAGUAGUCC
rnacentral:rRNA from 1 species